rfam:Triticum aestivum genome assembly, contig: Triticum_aestivum_CS42_TGACv1_scaffold_328214_4BS
CAACUACUCCCUCUGUCCCAAAUUUCUUGUCUUAGAUUUGUCUAGAUACGAGUGUAUCUAAUACUAAAAUGUGACUUGAUACAUCCGUAUCUAGACAAAUAUAAGAUAAGAAUUUUGGGACAAAGGGAGUACUUU